AUGAAGAACGCAGCGAAAUGCGAUAAGUAAUGUGAAUUGCAGAAUUCAGUGAAUCAUCGAAUCUUUGAACGCACCUUGCGCCCUUUGGCCAUUCCGAAGGGCAUGCCUGUUUGAGUAUCAUGAACACCUCAACUCUCAUGGCUCGCCAUGAUGAGCUUGGACUUUGGGGGUCUUGCUGGCCUGUGGUCGGCUCCUCUCAAAUGGAUCAGCUUGCCAGUGUUUGGUGGCAUCACAGGUGUGAUAACUAUCUGCGCUUGUGGUUUUCCAUCAGAUAACCUUCAGUGAUGGAGGUUCGCUGGAGCUCAUAAACGUCUCCCCUAAGCGGGGACAGCCCUUUGAAUGUUUGAUCUCAAAUCAGGUAGGACUACCCGCUGAACUUAAGCAUAUCAAUAAGCGGAGGA
rnacentral:misc_RNA from 1 species